rnacentral:misc_RNA from 1 species
UCUCCGUUGGUGAACCAGCGGAGGGAUCAUUACAGAGUUGCAAAACUCCCAAACCAUUGUGAACGUUACCUAUCCCGUUGCUUCGGCGGGCGGCCCGGGCCCCGCGCCCGGCGCCCCCCGGCCCCCCGUGGGCGCCCGCCGGAGGUAAACCAAACCCUUGAAUUGCAUGGCCUCCCUGAGUCUUCUGUACUGAAUAAGUCAGAACUUUUAACAACGGAUCUCUUGGUUCUG